rnacentral:rRNA from 1 species
GGUCCCUAUCCGUCGCGGGCGUAGGAAAUUUGAGAGGAGCUGUCCUUAGUACGAGAGGACCGGGAUGGACAUACCGCUGGUGUACCAGUUGUUCCGCCAGGAGCAUAGCGUCCCUAUCCGUCGCGGGCGUAGGAAAUUUGAGAGGAGCUGUCCUUAGUACGAGAGGACCGGGAUGGACAUACCGCUGGUGUACCAGUUGUUCCGCCAGGAGCAUAGCUGGGUAGCUACGUAUGGAAGGGAUAAGUGCUGAAAGCAUCUAAGCAUGAAGCCCCCCUCAAGAUGAGAUUUCCCUUGGAGUUAAUCCAGUAAGACCCCUUAGAGAUGAUGAGGUUGAUAGGUCUCGGGUGGAAGCACGGUGACGUGUGGAGCUGAGAGAUACUAAUCGGUCGAGGACUUAUCCUAAA